UUCUCUGAGUUGCAGUAGGUAUUUGUGUUUUUUAACUGCCUGGGGUCGGCAAAGACGCCGGCGGGAGCACUUGCAUAUUUUCCAGAUGACAGAGAAAA